CAGUGCAAGAGGCUAAUAAUAUCUUCGUACCUAGUAAAAAGCGUGCCAAGAGGAAGUCGAAAGAAGAAAUGGAAAAAGAAGUUGCUUUCUGGGAACAACAAAAACGUGACCUUUUAGAAUCGAUAAAGAAAGUAAAGGAUUACUUGGAAAAGAGAAAAGCUCUCAAUUUGCAGCUGAAGGCCCUCAAACUACAG